rnacentral:rRNA from 1 species
UCUGGCGGCGAUAGCGCGGUGGUCCCACCUGACCCCAUGCCGAACUCAGAAGUGAAACGCCGUAGCGCCAAUGGUAGUGUGGGGUCUCCCCAUGCGAGAGUAGGGAACUGCCAGAC